rnacentral:rRNA from 1 species
CAGUCGACGGCAGCACGGGUGCUUGCACCUGGUGGCGAGUGGCGAACGGGUGAGUAAUACAUCGGAACGUACCUUAUCGUGGGGGAUAACGCAGCGAAAGCUGUGCUAAUACCGCAUACGCCCUGAGGGGGAAAGCGGGGGAUCGAAAGACCUCGCGCGAUUAGAGCGGCCGAUGCCUGAUUAGCUUGUUGGUGGGGUAAAAGCCCACCAAGGCGACGAUCAGUAGCUGGUCUGAGAGGACGAUCAGCCACACUGGGACUGAGACACGGCCCAGACUCCUACGGGAGGCAGCAGUGGGGAAUUUUGGACAAUGGGGGAAACCCUGAUCCAGCAAUGCCGCGUGAGUGAAGAAGGCCUUCGGGUUGUAAAGCUCUUUUGUCAGGGAAGAAACACCGGCUCUAACACAGUCCGGGAAUGACGGUACCUGAAGAAUAAGCACCGGCUAACUACGUGCCAGCAGCCGCGGUAAUACGUAGGGUGCGAGCGUUAAUCGGAAUUACUGGGCGUAAAGCGUGCGCAGGCGGUUAUACAAGACAGGCGUGAAAUCCCCGGGCUUAACCUGGGAAUGGCGCCUGUGACUGUAUAGCUAGAGUGUGUCAGAGGGGGGUAGAAUUCCACGUGUAGCAGUGAAAUGCGUAGAUAUGUGGAGGAAUACCAAUGGCGAAGGCAGCCCCCUGGGAUAACACUGACGCUCAUGCACGAAAGCGUGGGGAGCAAACAGGAUUAGAUACCCUGAUAGUCCACGCCCUAAACGAUGCUGACUAGUUGUUCGGGAUUUACAUCCUGAGUAACGUAGCUAACGCGUGAAGUCAGCCGCCUGGGGAGUACGGUCGCAAGAUUAAAACUCAAAGGAAUUGACGG